AAGUCGUAACAAGGUAACCGUAGGUGAACCUGCGGUUGGAUCAUUAAAAAUAUUAAUAGCCUCUCAUCGUUUGCAGCUUGCUUGUCACUUGGGAGAAGACGAGCUGUACAAACGGCGGUGAAUGUUGGCAACACAUUUUGUGCACUGUAACGUCUUUGGUGGUUGGGCGGUAUGUUUCAUUGUUUGAAACUUCCGUUCGUCAGCUUGGGUUAUUCCAUAAUCCUCGCCGUGGACACACCACCGCUUGUUUAUUCAACAUCUGCUUUAUUGAAUUGACUGACAUUUUUUGUAUGAAAAUAUAAAAACAACUUUUGGCAACGGAUCUCUUGGUUCUC
rnacentral:misc_RNA from 1 species